AUGGUCAACAACUUUUUACAGGUAGUAUUAUUCCACAAAAUUUCAACAUAUAUAUGUCAAAGUUAUUACUCUAAUAUUUUUCUAUUAUUGUUUUGCCCAAUUAUAGUGAAUUUUAUUCUGAUCUUGUCUAGACUGAAGCUGGCACCAUAUUCAAUUACGGACAUUCCUACAUUGAUUGUCAAGGUGUUGAAAUAUCCACCAUGUAAUUUUUUCUCCACACUCACAGAGAGGCUCACGGUAAACCUCCUAAAGCAUCUUAUUAAAAGAGAAACGCUACAGCCGUAGUCACAGAUGAGCUCUGGUGACUAAAAUCCCACCUACCACUACUUGACUGUUGCGGUGCCUGAAGCCUACAAAAUCGCAGAAUGAUUGCUGGUUCUCAAACCUCUAGGUUACUUUAUGAUUGGGAAUUUUACAUAUAUCCAUUGCCUGAAAUGCCCUUAGCAUCUAUUACCCUUUGAGAUUUAGCUUCAAUAUCAAGUAAUGAAGCCUUUCUUAAGUACCUAGAGAAAAUCAGUUUUCUGGUCUUUAAUGCCACCUUUGUACACACAGCUUUCUGUUGUUACCUUUUCAAAUCAUUUCACCAUUAUUUCUCUAUGCAUUCAUUCAUUAUUUCAACAAAUAUUUAUCGGGUGUUUAAUAUGUUUAUAGCCAUGUGCUAAGCACUGAGGUUAUACAUCGUCGUGACUCCAUGGUUAAACUCCACAGGGACAAGAUCCACACAAACAUUCUGUGUGAAGGACACAUAAAUAGUUUGGGGGUACAUCAUGCCUAUGACUGAUAUGAAGAAGGUGUAAACAAAUGUAUAUUGAAUUAAAGAAUACCUUAAAUAUUUGUUUGUAAGAGAUAUAGUUUUAGGAUUUGUUACAAUAGUUAGAAAAGGGUUUCAUGAAUAUGGAAUGAGAGCUUAGACUGCAACUGUUUUACAAAGCGCUUUUAAAAGUAACUACUAAAAUAAUCUAGUAAUACUUUUAGAGUCAUUUAGAAAAGAAUAAAAUAAUCUUAGCCUAGCUAACAGGAUGUUCCAAUAAAACUGUUGUGAUGUGGUAGGACUCGAUUAUGGUGAGAAUGGGUCAGAAUGGAUGAAUCAACGCAUUUGUGUAAAGAAUAAUAUCUAGAAAUGAUGACAAUGUAUAUUUGAAAGAAAAGAGUAUUAAAAAUGUCUUUAAAUUUUCCAAUUUGUUGUACUCAUAGGAAAAUAGGAGGUGAAAAUGAAAUACUUAGAGAUGGUGUCUAAUUUAUUUCAAGAAUUUGAGGUAAAAAAGAACUGCUCUGCCCCGUUAAUAUGUGAGAUGAGCAAUUUAGGAGGGAGGUCAGGCUGGAAAAGUGAAUUUACUGAACACCAUGAUAGUCAUGUUGUUUAAUGACUUAAGAAUAGACAGUAAGAGAGGUUCUCCUAUCAUAGCCCUACAUCCUCUGGAAAUGCAUGCUACAUUAAAAUUUGUAUUUCUAUUUCCAUAUGCUUGGUAUGACUAAUGGCAGAAACUGUGAAGAAUCCUAGGAGAAAAAUGGUCUGCAUUUGCUUCAGACUUAUUGCAAAGCGUAUGUAUGAAGGAAAACAUUAUUACUUCUAAUUCUACCAGACCAUCACCUGCAUGAGUCCCUGUGAUGCUUCCCAAAUCCAUCCAAAUGCUUAACUGAAGCUUGAAUUUAUUAUUUUCAAGUUCGAUGUAAAAGUUCUUCUUUUUAAACUUGACACUGUAUACUGUGGCUUAAAUAUUUAAGCAAGGCUCUUUCGAAGAUUGAGGAAGAAACAUCAAAAGUAUCUAAUGUUUAAUUCAGUGAGGUAAGCUUUCUCAAACUCUGAAGCUUAUGUGAAGCUGUUUGGAAUUUUUUCAAGGGUCUUUUAUCUCUAAAUAAAAACAGAAUUUUUAAAAAAAAAUUAUAAUAAUUCUUCAAAACAGAAAUAACUUCUGUCAGAGUUCUUUGGUUUCUACCUAAAAGAAACAGUUACAUGGCAAUUGUUUAUUUAUUUCUACAUGAACCCAACAUGUUCAAAUUCUAAGAUUUAGAAAAGCUUGCUUCAGUCAUACAUAAAGAUUUUGAAAACUUAUUAUUCAAGCCAACUAAGAUUCUUGCUAGAAAACUCAAACAAAGAACAAUAAUUGGUUUGAAAACUGCAGAAUAUACUUUGUAGAUUAUGACUCUUCAUUGAUGAACAGAUAAGUAAACACCCACAAAUCAAUAUGUAAACAAUAGAACUGGCUAUUAAGUUUUUGCUAAAAGAUCUUCCUUGACAGAGUUUAUAGAAUUUGCUAAUUUUUUCUUUUUUGUCUUAUUUAAUGUUAGUUAUCAAAGCCAAGUCUUCCCAGACCCUUACUAAUUAAUCUCAACAAUUUGUUUUUGAAAUUUUGAAAACAUAGAAAUAUUAGGAGAAUCUCCAUUGGAGUGAUUCAAGAGAGUUCUAAAACAUGGAGACUGACAAAAACAUUCAGAUAGAAAUCUGCAGUUAAUGGUAAUAAAAUGAUGGCAGUCACUGUGAUGAUAUGAUAAUUGUGAUGAUUAGGCUGCUGGUUUGGAAUCCUGGAUGAAUCUCUUAAACUAGCUUUAUGGCUUUUAGCAAGUUAUGUAACCUUUGAAAUAUUCACCUGGUUUUUAAAACCACAUUCUGUGGAUGUAAGGUCUAAAUAAGAUAACCCAUAUAAAUAAUGUAGUAUGUCUCGCACAUACUAAGCGCAUGCUAAGACUUUCCCCAUGCUUUCUUUUUUUUGGCUUCUUUUAUUAUUAUUAUUAUUAUUAUACUUUAAAUUCUAGGGUACACUUGCACAACGUCCAUGUUUUAAGUCUCCACCCCCUUGUCCUUGAAAAUUCUAAUCUCUUUUGUUUACCAAGGCCAGUGAUAAUGAAGUCUUAUGACAAAACCUGUUCCUAUAACAUUCUUUCUAGUCAUUACAUAUUUUAAUCUCUCGUUUAUUAAGUUAGGUGCCUGUAAUAAUAACAUUUUCUAGAAUAUUUUUUACUGCUUUUAGCAUGGCUAACUUUUUUCACCUUUCCUUCAAUAAAUGCUGCCUCAUUUUAAGGUUUAUUCUGAACACCCAAUAUAAAGUAAUCCCCUCACAAUCUAGACUGCUUAUUAUUAUUUUAAUAUUCUAUAUAUUUUU
rnacentral:lncRNA from 1 species